CGCCCCCUCUGGGUCGGAACUAGGGUGGGCCGGGGAGGGGGCGUCGAGCCCAUUCGUGCCGUAUCCCUCCGCCCCCCUUCCCGACACCCUCGCCGCCAGCGUUUCGUGCCGCAUCCUGCGCAGCCCCUGCCCAGUUCGGUGCAGCAGCGCGGGGGGCGGGACGCCUCUUUGCGAUUCUGGCCGCUCGCAAGGCGGUGGGAAUCCGACUGAGGAGCUCCGAGAGGAGGGGGAGGACAGCGACCUACACCUUGAGCCUGUGAAGACCCUGGCAGCCUGGCAAGGAGGAGGCGACCCGGUCGUAGCUGGUCCCUGAGAGAGGUGCGCAGCGCCGCGGGACCCCUGGCGAGGAGAGGCGGCGACUGGCGCGGGCUGGGCCCAGGGCACCGGGGCUGGCCGGAGAGGCUCCCUCGGAUCGUCUGGAGACGAACUGCNCCGCGAAGCAAUGAAGGAAGAACGUGGGAGGGCCCCCCACCCCAGAACCUCCGGGGCAGUCUGGCCUUAGGUCG
rnacentral:lncRNA from 1 species